rnacentral:lncRNA from 1 species
GAGGAGGAUCUUCAACAGAAUGGGAGACUCAUCAACAAGAAAGCUUCUCGGUAUAGAUCACAAAAACCACUUGACAAAGGCAGGUGAAGCAGAGACCGGCCUUCAAAACUACCUUCUGAGCCCCGGGAAGCCGGGGGAUCCCCUCCAUUCGAGGAAGCUCCUGCUGUCCCCAGUUGCUCCACGGACCAGGGAAGUUCUGUGCCACGUUGUUGAUACCAGAGGUGACUCCCACUGGAAGGCAGAAGUGUUCCCAGGCCUUGCUAAUGGAAAAAGCGGCCUGCCUGUCCUAGAGAGAUUGGGGAGCAGAGUGGCAGUUCCCCACGCCCCCCGAGGUCUGUCAGUUUGUGAACUGACUCCCUGGUAGUAGGGGAACAAGCUUUUUGUCUUCUACCCCUGGCUCAUUUGCCACUGCUCAAGAGACUUUAAAAACCUGAGCUGUGUGAGUGCUUAGGGAACAGGAGAGAAUAAUGACAACUCACUAAAGAGAGAGGGAACCUGGAGUGGCAACCCAUGAGAACGUCUUAGAACAGCCGGUCUCAAUGAAGUAGAACUGAUGGGAGAAACAGGAGGGAACCUUAACAACAACCAGCAGAGAACUGUCAGGGAGUUGUGAUUAGGGCUCCACAAUUAAAUUCUAAAACUAAAAAAAGUUCACAAUUAAAAAAUUGACAAAUAGCCUGAUUAAGAGAAUGAUUAUUGCAAAGAACUGCGUUUGUGAUGGUAGAAGAUCAAGAGGCAGAAAUACCCCCAAGGUGGAGUGAAGCCUUAAAGAAAUUAAAGGCAUGAAAAAACAGAAAAGGGAGACUUGGAGCACAUAUUUAGGAGAUACACAAUAAUAGAAGAAGUUCCAGAUCAACAAAUGGGGACAGAAGGAGGAGAAAUAAUUAAUGAUAGAAAAGUCCUCCUGAGCUGAAGAACAUUUUGAGUCUCUAGACUACAGAGAUUUAUUGAGUCGUGAAAGGAGAUAUACAUUUUGACACUUCCAAGUAACUUUCUCACCUCCAAGGAGGGUGAAAAAAAUCUUAUAAUCUUUCUGGUAAAAAUCAUAGGUUGUGAGCAAAGAAUGUGUUCCUAUGUGGUGGGGGAUUUUUAUAAGUGCUUUUCCUUUUAAAAUUAUUGUUUAAGUUAAAUUUAUUUUCUGGUGGAAUAUCAAUUGGGUUUUUCUUUUGUUUGUUUGUAGGAAGGGACUGGAUAAAAUGAUUUCAAGGCUCACGCAGAAGAAAAAGGGUGUGAGAAGAGCCAUGAAAAUGAUGGGAGAAGGAUAGUGUGAGGAAACCUACCUUAUUAAACAUCAAAUGUUUCCGUAAAGCGACUGAAAACCAAGCAGAACUGACACAGGCAUAGACAGAGACAUCAGUGCCAGCUAGUAAACGUCCAGAAAUAGACACAAACAUAUGUGAGGAGUUACUGUUGACAAAGGUGGCAUGACAGUUCAGUGGGAAAAGUUUGAUCCAGCUACACAAAAUUGGAUAGCAUUGCUGAAAUAAUUGACUAUCCAACACAGGAGAAAACAAAGUUAAAUGCCAGUCCAUAGUCCACAAUGAAUUCCAGAACAAUUAAAGGUAUAGAUAUAAAAUAUGAAAUAAUAAAAAUAUUAGAAAAAAAUUCCUAGCA